ACCCCAGCCCUCAGCCCACAGGUCCCGGCCGCCGCCGUAGGCUCACCAGCUGCAAGCCUUUGAGGAUGCGCCGAUGCCAAGGGAGCCUGCCCAGGACGAAGUAGGCGGCCAGGCCGCUGCGCGCACCCCUGCCAGUGCCCGGGGCCGCCUCGGUGGUGGGACUGUAGACCGCUCCGUUCUCCAUCGCCCGCAAACACUCGCUCACCCAGCUAAACUCUCGGCCGAGCGGUAGGGGGCGUCACUUCCUGGGACUCCGCCCACGCUUCCGGUCAACUCCGCCCUCCUCACGCCUCGUCACGCCCCCUCGCUUGCUGAGCUCCAGCCCAUAGAAUUUCUCUCCCUUUGCCACGCCCCCAUGGUUUGCCGCGCCUCUUGUUCGCCACACCCCUCUGCCUUUCCUGCUCUCUGGUUAACUCUCGACAGUUUCUUUCUUUUUUUGGGUUUUUAUUUUAUUUAUUUAUUUAUUUUUGGUUUUUCGAGACAGGGUUUCUCCGUGUAGCCCUGGCUAUCCUGGAACUCACUCUGUAGACCAGGCUGGCCUCGAACUCAGAAAUCUGCCUGCCUCUGCCUCCCAAGUGCUGGGAUUAAAGGCGUUGCGCCACCACUGCCCGGCUAACUCUUGACAGUUUCAUGCUUUCGAUGGACUUCAGCUUUUUUGUUUUUUGGAUUUUUUAAAUUACACUUUGAUUAAUCUAUCUAUUUUAUCUAUAUUUUUAAUCUAUCUAUCUAUCGAUCUAUCUAUCCAUCCGUCCAUCCACCUAUCUAAGAAGGAGCGUUGUGCUGAGGUCAGAAAACUAUUCUGAGUCAUUUCUUCCUGAGAAUUGAAUUCAUUUUCAGGCUUAGUAACUGGCGCCUUUACCUACUGAGCCACCUCUCCGCCCUGACUUGAUCUGUGUCUUUUAGUUUCGUUUCGGUCUGAUUUAAAAAUAAAAGAAAUAAAACCAAGGUUUCACGUGCCCAGACUAGCCUAGAACUAUGUACAUAGCCAGCACUAGUCUGCAACUAGUGACAAUCCUCCUGCCUCUGUCUCUGAAGUGCUGAGAUUACAGGCACGUGCUCCUCCUCCCCUCAGCCUGUUUUGUUUUUUUAAAACUGCCAGAGAUCACAUUGAGGUCCUUCUGUAUGCUAACCGCCCUCCUCCCCCGCGCCCGUCCCCGUCUCCCCCCGCCCCGCCCCCCCGCCCCCCCCCCCGUUGAGCUGCACCCCUCCAUGCUCCUCCCACAGAGAUUUGACUUAUUUCUCACGUCUCACUAUCUUCCAUCUUUCAGAUAGUCAUCUUCUCAUGGGCGGGAGGGGUGCACCCGCGUAUGAAGGUGCAGGCUCGCGCGGGUGCAAGUGUGGAGGUCAGAAGUCAACCUUGAGUAUGUUCCUCAGGCACCAUCUACCCUGUUUUAGGGCAGUGUGUCUCACUGAACCUAGCUUACUAGAUAGGUGAGGCUAAAAGGCUAAGAAGACCCAGAGAUCAGCGUCCCGCCUUGCCAGCUCCGCCGUUACAAGCACAGGCUACAUUGGUCUUUUUAUAUGGGUUCUAGGAAUCGAACUCACAUCACCAAUGGCAGCCAGCACUUUACCAGCUAAGCUGUCUUCCCUGUUCUUGUUUUUCAGUAUCAUUGGAUGUUUACAGUACAACUGAAAACCAGAUCUGGAUAUUAAGUUUACUGCCCCGUGCCAACCAGAGACAGAAAAUCCUUUCUGGCAGGACAGUUAGCAGAUUAAUGAAAAUUUCAAAGGACAAUUAACAAAAAGAUUAAUCAGAGUGUCAGAUAUUGAUAUAUGACAUGAACAUACUGACCAUGCCAACAGAUGAGUGGACAAAAGAAAUGCAGAACAUUUAGUGGAAUUUUACUCAAGUUUAUUGUUCUUGUUUUGUGAAACCAUGACAUCUGUAGGAAAAUGAAUACAACAGAGUAUUACUGUGAAGGGAAAUAAGGCACAUUCAAAAGACAAAGGCCAUAUGGUCUGUCUCAUAUGUAGGUCCUAGAUUUUAAAAUUAUAUUUAUGGGGCUGGAGAGAUGGCUCAGUGGUUAAAAGCAAUUUCUGCUCUUUAAUAGAAUCUAAGUCUGGUUCCCAGCACCCACAUAGGGUGGCUUACAACCACCUGUAACUCCAGUUCCAAGGGAUCCAAUGUCCUUCUAUGGACUCUCCUGAUAUAUGCAUAUAUGCACACUCUCCGUGUGUGUCUGUCUCUGAUCUCUGUCUCUCUCUGUCUCUCUCUUUCUCUCUCUCACACACACACCCCUGCACAAAUAUACAAAGGAAAAAAUAAAUUUUUUAACUUUAAAUUUAUAUUUGCCUGCAUGUAUAUUUGUAUACCAGGUAAAUCUCUUCUGCCCACAGAGGUCAGAAGAGGGCAUUGGAGUCUCUGGAACUGGUGUUAUAGGUCGUUGUAAAGUGCCUACAAUCAAACCUGGGUCCUCUGCAAGAGCAUCAACUACCCUU
rnacentral:lncRNA from 1 species